GGGGGCGUGGCGGAACUGGCAGACGCAGGGGACUUAAAAUCCUCCGCCUUAUGGCUUGCGGGUUCGAACCCCGCCGCCCCUACCA
rnacentral:tRNA from 1 species